rnacentral:rRNA from 1 species
UACGUAGGGGGCAAGCGUUGUCCGGAAUUAUUGGGCGUAAAGAGCUCGUAGGCGGCUCGGCAAGUCGGGUGUGAAACCUCCAGGCUCAACCUGGAGACGCCACUCGAUACUGCUAUGGCUAGAGUCCGGUAGGGGACCACGGAAUUCCUGGUGUAGCGGUGAAAUGCGCAGAUAUCAGGAGGAACACCGGUGGCGAAGGCGGUGGUCUGGGCCGGCACUGACGCUGAGGAGCGAAAGCGUGGGUAGCAAACAGG